rnacentral:rRNA from 1 species
UGGGGAAUCUUGCGCAAUGGGGGAAACCCUGACGCAGCGACGCCGCGUGCGGGAUGAAGGCCUUCGGGUUGUAAACCGCUUUCAGCAGGGACGAGGCCUUAUGGUGACGGUACCUGCAGAAGAAGCUCCGGCUAACUACGUACCAGCAGCCUCCGUAAUACGUAGGUCCCGAGCGUUGUCCGGAUUUAUUGGGCGUAAAGCGGGCGCAGGGGGUUAGAAAAGUCUGGAGUGAAAGGCAGGGGCUCAACCAUUGUAGGCUUUGGAAACUGUGUAACGUGAGUGCAGAAGGGGAGAGUGGAAUUCCAUGUGUAGAGGUGAAAUGCGUAGAUAUAUGGAGGAACACCGGUGGCGAAAGCGGCUCUCUGGUCUGUAACUGACGCGGAGGUGCGAAAGCGUGGGGAGCGAACAGG